rnacentral:rRNA from 1 species
UGAGGAAUAUUGGACAAUGGGCGCAAGCCUGAUCCAGCCAUGCCGCGUGCAGGAAGACGCAUCUAUGGUGUGUAAACUGCUUUUGUACGGGAAGAAACACUCCUUCGUGAAGGAGCUUGACGGUACCGUAAGAAUAAGGAUCGGCUAACUCCGUGCCAGCAGCCGCGGUAAUACGGAGGAUCCAAGCGUUAUCCGGAAUCAUUGGGUUUAAAGGGUCCGUAGGCGGUUUAAUAAGUCAGUGGUGAAAUCUGGUCGCUCAACGAUCAAACGGCCAUUGAUACUGUUAGACUUGAAUUAUUAGGAAGUAACUAGAAUAUGUAGUGUAGCGGUGAAAUGCUUAGAUAUUACAUGGAAUACCAAUUGCGAAGGCAGGUUACUACUAAUGGAUUGACGCUGAUGGACGAAAGCGUGGGGAGCGAACAGG